rnacentral:lncRNA from 10 species
AAAAAAAGGACGCACAGAAAAUUUCUUGGGGGAACUGAUGAGCCUUCAAAGCCCAGAACAAGAGCGAGAGGCAGAGCUAAUAAUAACCUUUUAUCCCGACAGCUAUUUCACAGGCACUUGACCCCAUUGCCUGUGGUACUGUGUUGUUCAGUGCUCAGUUUCUGCUCGUUGUCUGGACGUAACAUAGAAGUCACGGUUUUGCUAAGAAAGAGGGCUUUUUAAAAACUGGCAGAAUCUGACCCAAAUAUCCAGACACUAUCCAUAGAUUACCGCCACAGACUCACAAUAGCCAAGACAAUUUGGGACAGCUGGAUCGGGGGAUUUCUAAGUGCUGAAGGCAGCAGGGUUGGUAAGAAGGAAGCUGCUAUCAUGAGUUCUAAUCUGGCUCUGCAGUGGACCUGUAGAGGAAAAAGUUCAUACCAGGAUGUCAGCAGCAUAAAGGAAUUUUUAUAAAAGCAGAAGACCGUUCUUAAUACCUCAUAUGUGCAUAGAGCUUACCAGUUUAUAAACUGCUUUUCUUUUUUUUUUUUUUUUUUUUUUUUGAGACAGAGUCUUACUCUGUCACCCAGGCUGGAGUGCCGUGGCAUGAUCAUGGCUGACUGCAGCCUCAACCUCCCAUGCUCAAGCGAUCCUCCCACCUCAGCCUCCUGAGUAGCUGGGACUACAGGCACAUGCCACCAUAGCUGGCUAAUGUUCAUAUUUUUUGUAGAGACAGGGUUUUGCUAUGUUUCCCAGGCUGGUCUCAAACCCCUGAGCUCAAGCGAUUCUCUCACUUCGACCUCCCAAAGUGCUGGGAUUACAGGUGUGCACCACUGUGAGUGGCUGAUAUGGUUUGGCUGUGUCCCAACCAAAUUUCGUCUUGAAUUCGCACGUGUUGUGGGAGGGACCCGGUGGGAGGUAAUUAAAUCAUGGGGCAGGUCUUUCCGGUGCUGUUCUCCUGAUAGUAAGUCCCAUGAGAUCUGAUGGUUAUUAUAAGGGGAAGUUUUUCGGCACAAGCUCUCUUUUUGCCUGCUGCCAACCACGAAAUAUGUGACUUUGCUCCUCUGUGCCUUCUGCCAUGACAGUGAGGCCUCCCUAGCCAUGUGGAAGCGUAAGUCCAAUUAAACCUCUUUCUUUUGUAAAUUGCCCAGGCUCAGGUAUGUCUUUAUCAGCAGUGUGAAAACGGACAAAUACAGUGGCCCUCUAGUUUUAUCUUAAUGAAGAUUCAUCAGAAUGAUGACAGCCUUACUCAUCUCACUUGGAAGGCUCUCCUCUAGCCACCUCUCCCCAAAAGAGAAGUUAGUGCCCCUCCAGGGAGAAGACAGCAUGGUUGCUGAGCAGGGCGCCAGGUCAGUCCUCAGAGGUGAACUUCAGACUCAACACCUGUGUGAUCUUGAGCAAGACACUCAUCUCUCUAAGCCUCGGUUUUCUCAUCUAAAAGGUAGCAGUGCUUGAUAACAUGACCUGUAUCCCCACCUGCCUGUUUUAUUCUUGGGCUGACAUUUGUGGUGCAUUUUAAGCUGGAAUUUCUGGAAACAGAAAGCUACAAGAUCCACAGCAAAAGCUACAAAAUGCAGUGGUGGAAUUUCAGGCACCAGGGCAUCGCACGGAGGAGACAUUCCAGGGCCCCAGAGUGGGUGGGGAAGCUGCUGAGAUCCUGAGAGCCUUCCAGUACCUUCAGACCCCACCACCCUGGCAGCAGCCUGCCCAGAGUCCACUCCCUUGGGCGACUCUGCUUAGGGCUCCCCCAUCAUCUAGCCGGUGGCAGGCAGCCAGGAGCUACUCGCCUUCUUUAAUUUAAAUGUACAUCUGGGUUUGCAGUAAGUUACAGGGACAAGGGUCUCCAGGAGUGGACCAGGGAAGGCCCUGCCCAGGUAACCAAGCCCAUGUCAAGCAAUCCACAGUCCUCAGGAUUCUUCCUCCAUGGGUGGGGUUUUGAUUGUGUGUUUUAAAGAUGCCUUCAUUGUAAC